UACGGAGGGUGCGAGCGUUAAUCGGAAUAACUGGGCGUAAAGGGUACGCAGGCGGUUUAAUAAGUCGAAUGUUAAAGAUCGGGGCUCAACCCCGUAAAGCAUUGGAAACUGAUAAACUUGAGUAGUGGAGAGGAAAGUGGAAUUCCUAGUGUAGCGGUGAAAUGCGCAGAUAUUAGGAGGAAUACCGGUGGCGAAGGCGACUUUCUGGCCAUAAACUGACGCUGAGGUACGAAAGCGUGGGUAGCAAACAGG
rnacentral:rRNA from 1 species